rnacentral:rRNA from 1 species
AGCAGUCGCCGCGGUAAAACGGAGGGUGCAAGCGUUAUCCGGAUUUAUUGGGUUUAAAGGGUCCGUAGGCGGAUCUGUAAGUCAGUGGUGAAAUCUCACAGCUUAACUGUGAAACUGCCAUUGAUACUGCAGGUCUUGAGUAAAUUUGAAGUGGCUGGAAUAAGUAGUGUAGCGGUGAAAUGCAUAGAUAUUACUUAGAACACCAAUUGCGAAGGCAGGUCACUAAGAUUUAACUGACGCUGAUGGACGAAAGCGUGGGGAGCGAACAGGAUUAGAUACCCGCGUAGUCCCUGUCUCUUAUAC